CUUGACGACCAUAGAGCAUUGGAACCACCUGAUCCCAUCCCGAACUCAGCAGUGAAACGAUGCAUCGCCGAUGGUAGU
rnacentral:rRNA from 1 species